rnacentral:rRNA from 1 species
UGGGGAAUAUUGGACAAUGGGCGCAAGCCUGAUCCAGCCAUGCCGCGUGAGUGAUGAAGGCCCUAGGGUUGUAAAGCUCUUUCACCGGUGAAGAUAAUGACGGUAACCGUAGAAGAAGCCCCGGCUAACUUCGUGCCAGCAGCCGCGGUAAUACGAAGGGGGCUAGCGUUGUUCGGAUUUACUGGGCGUAAAGCGCACGUAGGCGGACUAUUAAGUCAGGGGUGAAAUCCCGGGGCUCAACCCCGGAACUGCCUUUGAUACUGGUAGUCUUGAGUUCGAGAGAGGUGAGUGGAAUUCCGAGUGUAGAGGUGAAAUUCGUAGAUAUUCGGAGGAACACCAGUGGCAAAGGCGGCUCACUGGCUCGAUACUGACGCUGAGGUGCGAAAGCGUGGGGAGCAAACAGG